rnacentral:rRNA from 1 species
UACGUAGGGUGCGAGCGUUGUCCGGAAUUAUUGGGCGUAAAGAGCUUGUAGGCGGUUUGUCGCGUCUGCUGUGAAAAUCCGGGGCUCAACCCCGGACUUGCAGUGGGUACGGGCAGACUAGAGUGUGGUAGGGGAGACUGGAAUUCCUGGUGUAGCGGUGAAAUGCGCAGAUAUCAGGAGGAGCACCGAUGGCGAAGGCAGGUCUCUGGGCCACUACUGACGCUGAGAAGCGAAAGCAUGGGGAGCGAACAGG